AGCGAACGCUGGCGGCGUGCUUAACACAUGCAAGUCGAGUGCGCGGUUCGUAGCAAUACGAACUGGCGCACGGCGCACGGGUGAGGAACACGUGGGCAACAUGCCCUCCGAUGGGGGAAUAACCCGCCGAAAGGCGGGCUAAUACCGCAUACGAUUCCGGGGACCUCGGUUCCUGGACUGAAAGCCCGCAAGGGCGUCGGUGGAGUGGCCCGCGGCCGAUUAGCUUGUUGGCGGGUAACGGCCACCAAGGCAUGAUCGUAGCCGGUCUGAGAGGAUGAUCGGCCACACUGGAACUGAGACACGGUCCAGACUCCUACCGGGAGGCAGCAGUGGGGAAUCUUGCGCAAUGGGCG
rnacentral:rRNA from 1 species